rnacentral:rRNA from 1 species
CGAGAAGACCCUAUGGAGCUUCAAACACUUAGAUUAAUUUUCAAAAUUUUUUUUCCCCAAGGGCUUAACCACAUACAAUUUUUUAAUUUAACUGUUUUUGGUUGGGGCGACCCAGG